rnacentral:rRNA from 1 species
GGGAAUCUUCGGCAAUGGACGAAAGUCUGACCGAGCAACGCCGCGUGAGUGAAGAAGGUUUUCGGAUCGUAAAACUCUGUUGUUAGAGAAGAACAAGGACGUUAGUAACUGAACGUCCCCUGACGGUAUCUAACCAGAAAGCCACGGCUAACUACGUUACAGCAGCCGCGGUAAUACGUAGGUGGCAAGCGUUAUCCGGAUUUAUUGGGCGUAAAGCGAGCGCAGGCGGUUUCUUAAGUCUGAUGUGAAAGCCCUCGGCUCAACCGAGGAAGGUCAUUGGAAACUGGGAAACUUGAAUGCAGAAGAGGAGAGUGGAAUUCCAUGUGUAGCGGUGAAAUGCGUAGAUAUAUGGAAGAACACCAGUGGCGAAAGCGGCUCUCUGGUCUGUAACUGACGCUGAGGUUCGAAAGCGUGGGUAGCA